AGCCACGCAGAGAGCACAAAGCAAACUAUUCUUUUGCCUUUUACUAAAGUACACCACAUGCUCACUGCAAUUAGUGGCAUAUUGUUAAGACCGAAAUAAUGAGGUGUCAU
rnacentral:snRNA from 1 species